rnacentral:rRNA from 1 species
GUAGGGAAUAUUGGGCAAUGGUCGGAAGACUGACCCAGCCAUGCCGCGUGCAGGAAGACGGCCCUCUGGGUUGUAAACUGCUUUUAUCUGGGAAGAAAAAGGCCAUGCGUGGCAAAUUGCCGGUACCAGAUGAAUAAGCACCGGCUAACUCCGUGCCAGCAGCCGCGGUAAUACGGAGGGUGCGAGCGUUGUCCGGAUUUAUUGGGUUUAAAGGGUGCGUAGGCGGCUGAUUAAGUCAGCGGUGAAAGACUUCGGCUUAACCGGAGCAGUGCCGUUGAUACUGGUUGGCUUGAGUGUCGGAGGGGGACAUGGAAUUGAUGGUGUAGCGGUGAAAUGCAUAGAUACCAUCAGGAACACCGAUAGCGAAGGCAUUGUACUGGCCGACAACUGACGCUGAUGCACGAAAGUGUGGGGAUCGAACAGGAUUAGAAACCCUUGUAGUCC